GAUGAACGCUGGCGGCGUGCCUAAUACAUGCAAGUCGAGCGAACAGACGAGGAGCUUGCUCCUCUGACGUUAGCGGCGGACGGGUGAGUAACACGUGGAUAACCUACCUAUAAGACUGGGAUAACUUCGGGAAACCGGAGCUAAUACCGGAUAAUAUAUUGAACCGCAUGGUUCAAUAGUGAAAGACGGUUUUGCUGUCACUUAUAGAUGGAACCGCGCCGCAUUAGCUAGUUGGUAAGGUAACGGCUUACCAAGGCAACGAUGCGUAGCCGACCUGAGAGGGUGAUCGGCCACACUGGAACUAAGACACGGUCCAGACUCCUACGGGAGGCAGCAGUAGGGAAUCUUCCGCAAUGGGCGAAAGCCUGACGGAGCAACGCCGCGUGAGUGAUGAAGGUCUUCGGAUCGUAAAACUCUGUUAUUAGGGAAGAACAAAAGUGUAAGUAACUAUGCACGUCUUGACGGUACCUAAUCAGAAAGCCACGGCUAACUACGUG
rnacentral:rRNA from 1 species